rnacentral:rRNA from 1 species
GUGGGGAAUCUUGCGCAAUGGGCGAAAGCCUGACGCAGCCAUGCCGCGUGAAUGAUGAAGGUCUUAGGAUUGUAAAAUUCUUUCACCGGGGACGAUAAUGACGGUACCCGGAGAAGAAGCUCCGGCUAACUUCGUGCCAGCAGCCGCGGUAAUACGAAGGGGGCUAGCGUUGCUCGGAAUUACUGGGCGUAAAGGGCGCGUAGGCGGACAGCUUAGUCAGAGGUGAAAGCCCAGGGCUCAACCUUGGAAUUGCCUUUGAUACUGGCUGUCUUGAGUUUGGGAGAGGUGAGUGGAACUCCGAGUGUAGAGGUGAAAUUCGUAGAUAUUCGGAAGAACACCAGUGGCGAAGGCGACUGACUGGACAAGUAUUGACGCUGAGGUGCGAAAGCGUGGGGAGCAAACAGGAUUAGAAACCCCAGUAGUCC